AGUGAACGCUGGCGGUAGGCCUAACACAUGCAAGUCGAACGGCAGCACAGUAAGAGCUUGCUCUUACGGGUGGCGAGUGGCGGACGGGUGAGGAAUACAUCGGAAUCUACUUUUUCGUGGGGGGUAACGUAGGGAAACUUACGCUAAUACCGCAUACGAACUACGGGUGAAAGCAGGGGAUCUUCGGACCUUGCGCGAUUGAAUGAGCCGAUGUCGGAUUAGCUAGUUGGCGGGGUAAAGGCCCACCAAGGCGACGAUCCGUAGCUGGUCUGAGAGGAUGAUCAGCCACACUGGAACUGAGACACGGUCCAGACUCCUACGGGAGGCAGCAGUGGGGAAUAUUGGACAAUGGGCGCAAGCCUGAUCCAGCCAUACCGCGUGGGUGAAGAAGGCCUUCGGGUUGUAAAGCCCUUUUGGUGGGAAAGAAAAGCAGCAGGUUAAUACCCCGCUGUUCUGACGGUACCCAAAGAAUAAGCACCGGCUAACUUCGUG
rnacentral:rRNA from 1 species